AUUCUUACUGUAUUAAGUUGCUAACUAUUUAACCUCUGUAGGAACAUUUAAAGCUCUCAAAUUGUUCUUGGUCAAUAUGCAUAUCUUCUUAUAGUAGGACAAAGGCAGCAUACCUCGAGCAUCAUCAGCACACGGAGGGCUUCCUUAUACAUGUCAUUCUUGAUAAAAUGUUUUUUUCUGAAGCAUUAGAAAUAUCUUGUAAGACCUAGAGAUAAAACAUAUAAAUGGGUGAAAUGUCAUAAACUAUAUGGAAAACAAAAUCGUUGUACUGAAAAUUCAGUAAAUAUUACUUUAUAUCACCUGCAGGACCAAAAGCAUCUUUUUCUAUCCACUUUUAUCCCGG
rnacentral:lncRNA from 1 species